rnacentral:sRNA from 1 species
UUAAUCAUUUAGUUAAGCAUUUUUUUUGUAGUAACAUCAUGUAUUAAUUGUUUGCAAUACUCCUGUCUUAAGUCUUACUGUCAGACGAAAGUCUCAUUCAUUAGAACUAGAUCUAUAGUUUGGUGUUUAUCGUAUUUAGGUUUAUUUUCAUAGUUUAUUUGUAUGAGUAAUUAUAUACACUCCUGGCUGUGAAAGCAGGUAAGAAGUAACUAAGAUCUAGCGUAAUCUAGACUAGAUCUGGGGAACAAUCGAGGUGAAGCCUGAUUGCCCAUUUGUAAUUUUAGUAUUUGUAAAUAGACAGGUUGGUCUAUUUACCGGCGACUCGUGUUGAGUAACACGUAGUCGGUGGAGUGUGCGUGUGUCGCACAUCAUAUUCAGUCGGGUCAGAGUGUAGCCUACACACUGGUACCAAGGAUACUAAGUGUAUCUUGGAAAGUACAGAAGUUAUUAUAAGUCGGAGUUGGUAGUCUAGACGCCGAGGGUAGAGUGACGAAUUUAAUUUAUUUGAAUCAAGAGGUAUUAGGAAGGCGCGGAGCGAGGUUACGCUCAAAAGGUAAUUUGAUUUAUAGAACAUAGGUAAUAGAAGCUAUUAGGCCUGUGUGUAAGAUAAUUUAAAUAAAAAGCGAGGUAAAGUAACAUAAAGGUAAUAUGGCAGCUACUUCAGGUUACGACCUGGAAGAAUUUAG